UACGUGAGGGGCAAGCGUUGUCCGGAAUUAUUGGGCGUAAAGCGCUCGUAGGCGGGACUGGAAGUCCGUGUUGAAAGGACCUCGGCUCAACUGAGGGACCGGCUCGGAUACUCUAGUUCUUGAGGCAAUCAGAGGGUGAUGGAAUUCCCGGUGUAGCGGUGAAAAUGCGUAGAUAUCGGAGGAACACCAGUGGCGAAGGCGAUCACCUGGGUUGUUCUGACGCUGAGGAGCGAAAGCUAGGGGAGCAAACGGG
rnacentral:rRNA from 1 species